CCUACGGGUGGCUGCAGUGGGGAAUAUUGCACAAUGGGCGCAAGCCUGAUGCAGCCAUGCCGCGUGUGUGAAGAAGGCCUUCGGGUUGUAAAGCACUUUCAGCGGGGAGGAAGGCGUUAAGGUUAAUAACCUUGGCGAUUGACGUUACCCGCAGCAGAAGCACCGGCUAACUCCGUGCCAGCAGCCGCGGUAAUACGGAGGGUGCAAGCGUUAAUCGGAAUUACUGGGCGUAAAGCGCACGCAGGCGGUCUGUCAAGUCGGAUGUGAAAUCCCCGGGCUCAACCUGGGAACUGCAUUCGAAACUGGCAGGCUAGAGUCUUGUAGAGGGGGGUAGAAUUCCAGGUAUAGCGGUGAAAUGCGUAGAGAUCUGGAGGAAUACCGGUGGCGAAGGCGGCCCCCUGGACAAAGACUGACGCUCAGGUGCGAAAGCGUGGGGAGCAAACAGGAUUAGAUACCCCUGUAGUC
rnacentral:rRNA from 1 species